AGCAGCCGCGGUAAUUCCAGCUCCAAUAGCGUAUAUUAAAGUUGUUGCAGUUAAAAAGCUCGUAGUUGAAUUUCGGGAUCAAUAUGUUGGUCGUGCCUCGGUACGUACUAGCUUAUUGGUUUCUCCUUUCUGAAGAACCAUGAUGUCAUUUAUUUGGUGUCGUGGGGAAUCAGGACUGUUACUUUGAAAAAAUUAGAGUGUUUAAAGCAGGCUCACGCUUGAAUACAUUAGCAUGGAAUAAUGAAAUAGGACGUUUGAUUCUAUUUUGUGGUUUUUAGGAUCGACGUAAUGAUUAAUAGGGAUAGUUGGGGGCAUUAGUAUUCAAUUGUCAGAGGUGAAAUUCUUGGAUUUAUUGAAGACUAACUACUGCGAAAGCAUUUGCCAAGGAUGUUUUCAUUAAUCAAGAACGAAAGUUAGGGGAUCGAAGACGAUCAGAUACCGUCGUAGUCUUAACCAUAAACUAUGCCGACUAGGGAUCGGAUGAUGUUAAUUUUUUAAUGACUCAUUCGGCGCCUUACGG
rnacentral:rRNA from 1 species